rnacentral:siRNA from 1 species
AGGCACAUCAAGGGAUAACCCUGC